AGAGAGAUGGCUGAGUGGUUGAAAGCGGCGGUCUUGAAAACCGUUGAAGCGGCAACGUUUCCGGGGGUUCGAAUCCCUCUCUCUCUG
rnacentral:tRNA from 1 species